GCCAAUUUUUCCGAUGAUAUUAAGUAAAGCUAAACAUGUUUUUAGUAAACUUGUUCUGUGCGUAUCGAGCGUUUACUUGCUAAUCAAAGAAAAUUACCAUGCGUUUUGUGGUAACCAAAGAUAUUUCCGGAGAAACCUUACCCAAGUGCACGCAGCGGCUUUUAUAGAUACUUGUUUAUUGAUGAUUUAUUUAUUGAAGUGUGUUAUUUAAAGAACCACAGACUGUUGGAUGUGUACAGUAUUGCUUUUUGAAUUUACGGUAAUUGCGUAUUACCAAGAACACUUUACUGCUCAACGAUACCAAAAAAAAAAGGCGCACCUCUAAUGCUCAAACAAGCGGGCUGGCCGUAUAACGAGAUUUAAUUACGAUCAUAAUGGAUAGCAACAUGUACGCGCCCGUACAAUUAUGUGUUGAUCUUAUAAAAUGGACCAGCUUUCAUUAUACGUUGUGUUAUUAUUAUUAUUAUAGUACUAAAAUAUACAAAACAACGUAUUUCCGGAACAGGUGCCGCGAUUGGCCACUGCAUGCACCCAAAUUCUAGACGUUCGGAAAUGUCUUGCUGAGGUUUGGGAGUAGUCGCUUGACCUAGUUUUAAAAGCAUAUGGGACGCCGUCUGUGCAAACCCAGCCUACACUGGCUUUUACUGUUCCGUUUUUUUUCAAAGAGCCUGAUACAAUUUUAGGCACGUUAUGAUCGGCAAAAGAAUCAUCGUGAAAGACAAGAAGAAGCCUGAACAAUGACGGAACGACAUGUGGAGCAGAACAGACGGCUACGCGAAAAAUAAGGUCUGCUUUUUAGAGGCGCGCGCUAGUGCACCUAUAAAGUGAUCUACCUACGAAAUAACAUCGACGAGUAUAAUGGUAAAGAUUGUGCCGGUCCUUGUAUUGGGAGUCAACGAAAGAGUAUUGACCUUCGGUUGGGAAUUGAAACGAAAGGACACCGACGAGGAUAUUUUAUACAUUUACCAGGUUCCAUGAAGAACUGAGGAACUACACUCAAUGAAGGCUGCUUAGGAAUAUGCGGUGUCGCUGCUGUUCGCGACAAU